GCUAGGCCUCUGGACCAGGUGGAACUGAGAAGCAAGCCGUCCUUCCACUGCUGGGCCCUCCCUCCUAUGGCUUCCUGCACCGCAGUCCUCAAACGGAGCUGCUGGCAGGUGUGGGCAGCAUCACAAACUUUCCAGGGGCCGUGUUCGCAGGGCUGGGUGCUGGAGAAGGAGAGUGUGCUGUUUCCUCUGUCCCCGCAGGUCCAUGCAGCCAGUGUUAGCCAGCAGCAGAAGCAGAGACAAAGCAACCUGGAGGACGGCGUCUACAGGAACAGGCAACUCCUUGACUCUUCUUCCCAUUCGGGUUCUGCAUCUCCUUAAGCACCCAGUCACCUCGCUGCUUCGCCCUAUUUUGCCAAGUAUUCUUCUGUUAACACUCUUCCUAUUCGUGAC